UGCAGCAACGCCGCGUGAGGGAUGACGGCCUUCGGGUUGUAAACCUCUUUUAGUAGGGAAGAAGCGAAAGUGACGGUACCUGCAGAAAAAGCACCGGCUAACUACGUGCCAGCAGCCGCGGUAAUACGUAGGGUGCAAGCGUUGUCCGGAAUUAUUGGGCGUAAAGAGCUCGUAGGCGGUUUGUCGCGUCUGCUGUGAAAUCUGGGGGCUCAACCCCCAGCCUGCAGUGGGUACGGGCAGACUAGAGUGCGGUAGGGGAGAUUGGAAUUCCUGGUGUAGCGGUGGAAUGCGCAGAUUUCAGGAGGAACACCGAUGGCGAAGGCAGAUCUCUGGGCCGUAACUGACGCUGAGGAGCGAAAGCAUGGGGAGCGAACAGGAUUAGAUACCCUGGUAGUCCAUGCCGUAAACGUUGGGAACUAGAUGUGGGGGCCAUUCCACGGUCUCCGUGUCGCAGCUAACGCAUUAAGUUCCCCGCCUGGGGAGUACGGCCGCAAGGCUAAAACUCACAGGAAUUGACGGGGGCCCGCACAAGCGGCGGAGCAUGCGGAUUAAUUCGAUGCAACGCGAAGAACCUUACCAAGGCUUGACAUAUACCGGAAACGUCCAGAGAUGGUCGCCCCGCA
rnacentral:rRNA from 1 species